UCAAAAUUGUUUAACUCUUUCAGUGAAAAGUCUUUGAGAAGUUUUCGUUUCUGUCAUCAAUAUGGCCACCUCACUCUCCUUCUGCACAUGUCUUGAUACUCAUGGGCAUGUCUCCUACUGAUUAAUGUCUGUGUUUCAACUUGGGAAUGAAAGUCUAGAUGAACUGAGCGGUGCUGUCGGUGGCAGAGUUACCCCGUGCUUCGUUUGGAAGACAGGAUCCUAUCCAUUAUGAUUCUAGGAAGAGAAAGGCUUCUGUUUAGAAUGUUGGCAGAAGUGUGGUUCAUAAAAACUGUCUGGAAUUCUAAACAGAGAUUCCAGGAAGGCUCAAAGACUUCAGGACAGCAAGCUUCUUGUCAUUAUGACAAAAAGAUCAGAAAAUCAAGUUAUGGAGAGAAAGCACCCUGCUCAUGGUUUUGGAGACUGCAGUUGGGUUGGUCUGAUGCUUCGGGAUCGUGGCAAGGCAGCGGGUGUGUCUUGGUGGAAGGAUCUGAUGGAGGAAGCUGAUAAUUUCAUGGCAUCCAGGAAACAAAAGAGAUCAUAUAGGCUGGGACCCAUUAACGCAUCCACAACUGAAAAGGAGCGCUGCUUCCACAUGGGAGCAUUCGGGAGUCAGUGACUGAACACCAAUCUUAAUAAAACGGGAAUGGAGAAUACAGAA